rnacentral:rRNA from 1 species
GUCUACAGCCACGGUACCCUAAAUGAGCCUGAUCCUGGCUAAUCUUGGAAGCUAAGCAGGGUCAGGCCUGGUUAGUACUUGGAUGGGAGACCACCUAGGCAGACCAGGUGCUGUAGGUG